rnacentral:misc_RNA from 1 species
AACGCACCUUGCACCCUUUGGUAUUCCGAAGGGUACACCCGUUUGAGUGUCAUUGUAAUCUCACUCCAACACCUUUAUUGAUGUUGGAUGUGGACUUGGAUGUUGUCGUGUUCAACGACUCGUCUUAAAUGCCUGAGUGUACCCUGCUUUGCAGCGUAUCAGUGUGAUAAACAUCUUCACUGUUAAGUCUUUUGGGACACGCUUGUGUUGUAGGCUCUAUGCUUUCCAACCGUCCUCUGGACAAUCUCUGACAAUUUGACCUCAAAUCGGGUGGGACUACCCGCUGAACUUAA